rnacentral:rRNA from 1 species
GACGAACGCUGGCGGCGUGCUUAACACAUGCAAGUCGAACGGAAAGGCCCUGCUUUUGUGGGGUGCUCGAGUGGCGAACGGGUGAGUAACACGUGAGUAACCUGCCCUUGACUUUGGGAUAACUUCAGGAAACUGGGGCUAAUACCUGCUAGGAGCUCCUGCUGCAUGGUGGGGGUUGGAAAGUUUCGGCGGUAGGGGAUGGACUCGCGGCUUAUCAGCUUGUUGGUGGGGUAGUGGCUUACCAAGGCUUUGACGGAUAGCCGGCCUGAGAGGGUGACCGGCCACAUUGGGACUGAGAUACGGACCAGACUCCAACGGGAGGCAGCAGUGGGGAAUAUGGCACAAUGGGCGGAAGCCUGAUGAAGCAAUGUCGCGUGCGGGAUGACGGCCUUCGGGUUGUAAACCGCUUUCGCCUGUGACGAAGCGUGAGUGACGGUAAUGGGUAAAGAAGCACCGGCUAACUACGUG